AUGAGUCUAACACUGCUUUUCUGUACAGGGGGGAGCUGCCUCCAGAAGGUGGAACAGAGCCCUCAGGCCUUGAGAGUCCAGGAGGGAGAGGACACCACUAUUAACUGCAGUUUCACAGAAUUUUCCCAAAGCUUGCAAUGGUUCAGGCAGGAUCCUGGGAAAGGUCUCAUCAGCCUGUUUUACUUGACCUCAGAGAUGAAGGAGAAAGGCAGAUUCAGAUCCACGAUCAUCUUGAAGGAACGUCACAGUUCCCUGUACAUCGAUGCCUCCCAGCCUUCAGACUCAGCCACUUACCUAUGUGCUGUGAGGGCACAGUGA